CACCUAACAAGCUGUUGACAAUUUACAGAAGUUGCAUGUUUAUCACCACCGAAAGGCGAAAAGAAAACACCUCAAAGAAAUAUCAAAUUUAGAUUUCAUGGAAAUGAAGAACUGUACAACAACAUAUCUUAUGUAACAUACCAUUUAUAUUCAUACAAUGCAAUUCAUGAUUUUCUUUGGAUGGAAGCGAGUAGUAAAGCAUGCAUAUUUUACUCUUCUAUUUAUGCAGAGGAGAAGCAGUUGGUUUUGGAUGAGAGACAGCUUUUCUACCAGAAAUUUCAUUAGUACUUCUCCUACGAUAUUUAGGACCAUUGCUUGAACUUUGAUUCCUUUUUCGGGGGUUUUCGCUUUGAGAGCCCCGAGACCCCUCGUUGUCAUUGGACUCGAGCAAUUGCUCCAAUGCUUUUACCAAUUCUUCCACAUCUGGUCUAAACUUUGGCUCUGUUGAUAGGCAUUGUACUGCAAGAGUAGCUGCUUUUAGUGCAU
rnacentral:misc_RNA from 1 species